UGGGGAAUUUUGGACAAUGGGCGAAAGCCUGAUGCAGCCAUGCCGCGUGUGUGAAGAAGGCCUUCGGGUUGUAAAGCACUUUCAGCGAGGAGGAAGGUGGUGAGCUUAAUACGCUCAUCAAUUGACGUUACUCGCAGAAGAAGCACCGGCUAACUCCGUGCCAGCAGCCGCGGUAAUACGGAGGGUGCAAGCGUUAAUCGGAAUUACUGGGCGUAAAGCGCACGCAGGCGGUUUGUUAAGUCAGAUGUGAAAUCCCCGGGCUCAACCUGGGAACUGCAUUUGAAACUGGCAAGCUAGAGUCUCGUAGAGGGGGGUAGAAUUCCAGGUGUAGCGGUGAAAUGCGUAGAGAUCUGGAGGAAUACCGGUGGCGAAGGCGGCCCCCCUGGACGAAGACUGACGCUCAGGUGCGAAAAGCGUGGGGAGCAAAACAGGAUUAGAUACCCUGGUAGUCCACGCUGUAAAACGAUGUCGAUUUGGAGGUUGUGCCCCUUGAGGCGUGGCUUCCGGAGCUAACGNGUUAAAAUCGACCGCCUGGGGGAGUACGGCCGC
rnacentral:rRNA from 1 species